rnacentral:rRNA from 1 species
CCUACGGGUGGCAGCAGUGAGGAAUAUUGGUCAAUGGACGAGAGUCUGAACCAGCCAAGUAGCGUGAAGGAUGACUGCCCUAUGGGUUGUAAACUUCUUUUAUACAGGAAUAAAACGAGGCACGUGUGCCUUUUUGCAUGUACUUUAUGAAUAAGGAUCGGCUAACUCCGUGCCAGCAGCCGCGGUAAUACGGAGGAUCCGAGCGUUAUCCGGAUUUAUUGGGUUUAAAGGGAGCGUAGAUGGGUUGUUAAGUCAGUUGUGAAAGGUUGCGGCUCAACCGUAAAAUUGCAAUGGAUACUGGCAGUCUUGAGUACAGUGGAGGUAGGCGGAAUUCGUGGUGUAGCGGUGAAAUGCUUAGAUAUCACGAAGAACCCCGAUUGCGAAGGCAGCUUACUAAACUGUGACUGACAUUGAUGCUCGAAGGUGUGGGUAUCAAACAGGAUUAGAUACCCCAGUAGUC